rnacentral:rRNA from 1 species
GGCGGGAUGCUAUGAACCACCUUUUAGGUUGGUUCAGUGUGUCUAGUCCUAUUUUCUAGGGACGCUAUAGCCUUAACGGGUGUGUAGCAGUGUCUAGGACGUUUACUUUGAAGAAAUUAGAGUGUUUAAGGCAGGCUUGUGCUUGAAUACAUUAGCAUGGAAUAAUAGAAUAGGACUCUGGUCUUAUUUUGUUGGUUUUAAAGGCUGGAGUA